CGGACGGGCGCGCGGGGUGCCGGGUGCCGGCUGGAGACUCCGUGGGAGCGCGGCCGGGAGGCCUCGCCCCGGAGCGGGCCCGGCGCCUCCCGAGCUGGCAGGGCCCUCGGCGGACGGCGUAGCGUGGGCUUCCUCCUCCGACCAGGGAAAACAGAGAGAAUGAAAGCCUAUCUGAAGAGCGCAGAAGGUUUUUUUGUCCUAAAUAAAAGUACCACAAUUGGAAGGCAUGAAGAUUCAGACCUUGUUUUACAGUCCCCUGACAUCGACAACCACCACGCGCUCAUCGAAUAUAACGAGGCGGAGUGCAGCUUUGUUCUCCAGGACUUCAAUUCGCGCAGCGGCACGUUUGUCAACGAGUGCCACAUUCAGAACGUGGCUGUGAAGCUCAUCCCUGGGGACAUCCUGAGAUUUGGGUCUGUGGGGCUGACCUAUGAACUGGUCAUCGAAAACCCACCCCUGGUCUCCUACCCAUGGAUGAGGGGCCCAGCACCAUGGCCAGGGCCACACCCACCUCAUGCCACACAGCGGCCGAACCAGGGCACCCCGCCACAUAUCCCCUUCCACCAGGGCAUCCAGCCAGCACCAGUGCAAAGGAGCUGGUCCCAGGGCUUCCCCAGACCCACCACGGUCCCCCUAGCCUCCCACCGGCGGCCUGCGAGCGCCAGAGAGGAGAUGUUCUCAUUCGUGGUGGAUGGUGCCCGCAAGCCCUCCAUCAUCAAGCAAGUGUGGACCAAUGCCAGGAAACCGUCAGAACAGUCAGUGGCCGAGGGGAUUCCUGAGGUUCCCAGCGCGGAGAUUUAUAUGGAGCAGGACCUGGCCCAGCAGGACAAGGAUGAAAUAAUUCUCCUGCUGGGAAAAGAGAUCAGCCGUCUCUCAGAUUAUGAAAUCGAAUCCAAAUAUAAAGACGUCAUAAUAGCAAACCUGCAGAACGAAGUGGUGGAGCUGAGUCAGAAGCUGUCAGAGACCUCCACCUCCAGGCAGACUGAGAGGGAGAUCACGCAGAAGUGUCAGGUUCUGGAUGAAGACAUCGACAAACAGAAAGAGAUCCAGAGCUUGAAAAGCCAGAUCAGUGCCCUACAGAAAGGCUACAGCCAGGUGCUGUGCCAGACCCUGUCCGGGCGGAACUCAGAAAUCGCAUCCCUGAAGAAUGAGGGGGAAAAUUUAAAGAGGGACAACGCUAUCGCAUCAGGGAUGGUGUCAUCUUUGCAGAAAGACAUGUUAGCAAAGGAUGAGCAAGUUCAACAACUAAAGGAAGAGGUCAGUCAACUAAAAAGUCAGAACAAGGACAAGGAUCACCAGCUGGAAGCCCUUGGCUCUAGAUGCUCGGUGCUAAAGGAAGAGUUAAAGCAGGAAGGUGCUCACAGGGAGCUCAGGGAAGCCCAGGAGAAAGAGUUAAAACUCUGCAGAACCGUUGAAGAGAAGCUUCAGGAGGAUUCCAGAAGGAAACUGCUUCAGCUGCAAGAAAUGGGGAACAGAGAGAGCCUCAUUAAAAUCAAUUUGGAGAGGGCAGUAGGUCAGCUAGAGCACUUCAGAAGUCAAGUCAUCAAGGCCACCUACGGACGGGCAAAGCCAUUCCCAGACAAGCCUGUCACCGACCAACAGCUAAUAGAGAAAAUCACCCAGAUCACUGAGGACAACAUCAGUUUUCAGCAGAAAAAGUGGACCGUGCAGAAGGAGACCCAGCUCAGCAACUCCAAGCGGGAGGAGACCACAGAGAACAUUGAGAAGUUGAGGACGUCGCUGGAGAGCUGCCAGGCUUGCAUGACGUCCUGCUGUGGCAGUGACCUGAAGAAGGAGGUCGACCUUCUUCAGCACCUCCAGGUGAGCCCACCUGUCUCAGGGCUCCAGAAGGCGGUUCUCGACAUCCUGAGGCACGCGCUGUCCUGGCUGGAGAAGACGGAGCAGCUCCUCCGGGACCUGCGGAUCCCGCCCUCCAGCACCGACAAAGGGUUCUCUUUGUACCUGAUAUAUCUUCUGGAACAUUAUAAAAAACUUACAAGCCAGAUCCAGGAACUUCAGAGCAAGUUCAGUUCUCAGGAAACUCAGCAGUCUUUACUGCAAGAAAAGCUGCAGGAGCAUCUGGCAGAGAAGGAGAAGCUGAACAAGGAGAUGCUAGAGCAAGAGGAGAAGCUGAAUGCCAAAAUCAGGCAACUGAUGGAAGAGAGGGCGGCUUUGGAGGAAGGCAUUACUCAGGAGAGAAACAGAGUGAAAGAGACUUUAGAGAAAGAACUGAAGAGAAGGCAAGAGCAGGAGGACCUCCUGGCCCAGCAGAAGAAGGCUUUGGCGGAAAGCAUUACCCAGGAGAAGAAGAGAGUGAAGGAAGCAUUAGAGGAAGAACAGACAAGAGUCCAAGAGCUGGAGAACUGCUUGGCCCGCCAGAAGGAGGUUUUGGAGAGCAGCAUGGCCCAUGAAAAAAGGAGAGCAAAGGAAGCCUUGGAAUCGGAAAAGAGAAAAGUUCAGGAUCUGGAGAACCACUUAACCCAACAGAAGGAGAUCUCAGAGAGCAGCCUUGCCUACGAGAAACACAAAGCAAAGGAGGCCAUAGAGAAGGAAAAGAAAAAGGUGCAAGACCUGGAGAAUCGCUUAACCAAGCAGAAAGAGGAAAUGGAAUUCAAAGAGCAAAAACAGGACGUUUUAAAUAAUAAAUUAAGUGACGCACUGGCCAUGGUCGAAGAGGCUCAGAAAACAAAGACAACUGAAAGUCUAAAAGCAGAGAGCCUCGCCUUGCAAUUAAAUGAAACAUUAGCUGAACUGGAAACUGCCAAGACAAAAAUGAUCAUGAUGGAAAACCAGCUAAUCCUGCAGCAGCAGAGGGUAAAGGCGCUCCAGGAUGAGCAGGAAUCGCAGAGACACGGGUUUGAAGAAGAGAUCCUGGAAUAUAAGGAGCAAAUCAAACAGCACUCCCAGACAAUUGUGAGUCUUGAGGAGAGACUCCAGAAAGUCACUCAGCACCAUAAAAAAAUAGAAGGCGAGAUUGCAACGUUGAAGGACAACGAUCCAGCCCACAAGGAAGAAAGGCCUCAAGACCCUCCGGUGGCUCCCACGACGGACAGCAGUGCCAAAGACAUGGCAUGCGAACACCUGAUAGACGACUUACUGGCUGCUCAGAAGGAAAUCCUGUCCCAGCAGGAGGUCAUCAUGAAGUUAAGGAAAGACCUCACCGAAGCCCACAGCAGAAUGUCAGAUUUAAGAGGGGAGCUGAAUGAGAAGCAGAAGACGGAACUGGAGCGGAACGUGGCACUGGUCCAGCAGCAGAGCAAGGAGCUGAGUGUGCUCAGGGAGAAGAUGGUCCAGAUGAGCAGCCUGGUGGAAAAGAAAGACCGGGAGCUGAAGGCCCUCAAGGAGGCACUCAGGGCUUCCCAAGAGAAACACAGUCUCCAGCUGAACACAGAGAAGGAACAGAAGCCCAGGAAGAAGACCCAGACGCGUGACACCUCUGUGCAGAUAGAGCCAGUCCACACCAACGUCUUCUCCAGCAGCCAAGAGGAGCCGUCCUUCAGCGACCUAGGGGUCAAGUGCAAAGGGUCCCGGCAUGAGGAGGUCAUCCAGCGUCAGAAAAAGGCCUUAUCUGAACUUCGAGCACGAAUUAAAGAACUUGAGAAGGCCCGCUCGCCAGGUCAUAAACACCACCUGAAUGAAUCAGUUCUAGAUUUAAAGAACCUCAGAAUGGAAAACAAUGUCCAGAAAAUACUGUUGGAUGCAAAACCGGAUUUGCCAACUCUCUCAAGAAUAGAGAUCCUAGCGCCUCAGAAUGGCCUUUGCAACGCAAGGUUCAGCUCAGCCAUGGAGAAGUCAGGGAAGAUGGACGUGGCUGAGGCUUUAGAGCUCAGUGAAAAGCUGUACCUGGAGAUGAGCAAAACCCUCGGAAGUCUGAUGAACAUCAAGGACAUGUCUGGCCACGUGUCCAUGAAAUAUCUCUCCCCCAAAGAGAGGGAGAGGGUCAACCAGCUUCGACAGAGGGACCUCGACCUGGUGUUUGAAAAGAUCACCCAACUCAAGAACCGGCUAGAGAGGAAAGAGGAGCUGUUGAGAGGAUACGAAAAGGAUAUUGAACAGCUCAGGCGGAGCAAAGUGUCCGUUGAGAUGUACCAGUCGCAGGUGGCAAAGCUGGAGGAUGAUAUCUACAAAGAGGUGGAAGAAAAGGCCCUGCUGAAGGAGGCCCUGGAACGCACGGAGCACCAGCUGUGCCAGGAGAAGAGGAUCAACAGGGCCAUCCGGCAGCAGAAGGAGCGUGCAGAGGAGCAUGAACCGAGAAACACAAAAGAAUCGACACCUUGCAACUGUGCCUUCAAAGAGAAAGACAGGCAGAGACGCGUAUUUGUAGAGAUGGUGAAGAACAGGAUGCAGAACUCGAAUUCCCAGAAAGUAGAGGGAAGCUCUCAGGAAGCUUGAACGCAAAACACAUUUUGGUUGAAUAAGAGAGACUUAUUGAACAAAUUUGAUAAAAGGCCACAGUUAUUCUGAAACAAAAUUAUCAUUAGAAGAACUGAAGAUACUCUAUGCAGGGGACAUUCUUGGAAAAUAGAAGCCUCUUCUUAACUGACACCAUUGUCCGAAGACUACUAGAAGGUGGCCGCUGCUCUGGAUGUUAGGAGGGUAGAGAGUGUCCCCAGGGUCUCCCUGGACCUGAGACAUUUGCCACCUGAAAGUGGGAAUGAAGGGGAGGCCCGUUACUUAAUCAUCCACACACUUGGGAGAGACUGGAGCAGGCAGACACCGCCCGCUGCCAGGUGUGGCUGAUAAUGACAUGGAGAUGUAAAUGACAGUGUUGACACUGGAAUGCGCCCUGGAUGUAGGGAUAUUGUGGUCCUCUUAGAUGUGAAGCCCCCUGCAAUUUUAGGCUCGACAGAAUGGGGGCAGUUGGUGCUUUGCCUGAGAAUAGAGUGACCUUCUUUAUCCAGCCCCCCAGACAUGGCUUGAGAAAAAAGUCCAUUUUUCUUUGAUGCAAAAGGCAAAGGAGUUUGAUGUUUGGACCUCCUUGGUGCAAAAAGGUUUCCUCCAGGUACCUUGCAACAUGUAGCUUGGGGUCUCUGUCCUUUGAGUCCUUAAGGUGAUGGAGUGAGUCAUCGUGACCACCCCGAGGAAGAUGGAACAUGGACAAUCCAGCCUUUCCGACUUGUAUGCUCAUAAAAAAAGUGUCCAUCGCUGGUAAGCUUC